CGAACGAUGAUCUCCCGCUUGCGGGGGUGAUUAGUGGCGAACGGGUGAGUAAUACGUGAGUAACCUGCCCUUGACUCUGGGAUAAGCCUGGGAAACCGGGUCUAAUACUGGAUACGACCUCCUGUCGCAUGGUGGGGGGUGGAAAGGGUUUGACUGGUUUUGGAUGGGCUCACGGCCUAUCAGCUUGUUGGUGGGGUAAUGGCUCACCAAGGCGAC
rnacentral:rRNA from 1 species